GACGAACGCUGGCGGCGUGCUUAACACAUGCAAGUCGAACGGAGUGGCGAACGGGUGAGUAACACGUGGGUGAUCUGCCUUGCACUUCGGGAUAAGCUUGGGAAACUGGGUCUAAUACCGGAUAGUGCAAGAUGAGCUCGCGGCCUAUCAGCUUGUUGGUGGGGUAAUGGCCUACCAAGGCGUCGACGGGUAGACGGCCUGCGAGGGUGUACGGCCACAUUGGGACUGAGAUACGGGCCAGACCCCUACGUGAGGCAGCAGUGGUGAAUAUUGCACCAUGGGCGGACGCCGGAUGCAGCGACGCCGCGUGGGGGAUGAAGGCCUUCUGGUUGUAAACUCCUUUCGACAGGGACGCGGUAUCUGGAGAAGAAGCACCGGCUAACUACGUGCCAGCAGCCGCGGUAAUUC
rnacentral:rRNA from 1 species